UAGCUGCAUUAUUUGACGUUAGCGACAGAAGAAGCACCGGCUAACUCCGUGCCAGCAGCCGCGGUAAUACGGAGGGUGCGAGCGUUAAUCGGAAUUACUGGGCGUAAAGCGCAUGCAGGUGGUUUGUUAAGUCAGAUGUGAAAGACCCGGGGCGUCAACCUCGGAAUAGCAUUUGUAAACUAGGCAGACUAGAGUACUGUAGAGGGGGGUAGGAAGUUUCAGGUGUAGCGGUGAAAUGCGUAGAGAUCUGAAGGAAUACCGGUGGCGAAGGCGGCCCCCUCGGACAGAUACUGACACUCAGAUGCGAAAGCGUGGGGAGCAAACAGGAUUAGAUACCCUGGUAG
rnacentral:rRNA from 1 species